AAGAAAGAAGACGCCGCCCAACACUGCAAGUGAGCUAGGUUGGCUGAUAACUGAUUGUCAUACACGCUUUGGGUGGUGGCUAUUCAGUUUGAAGCUGGCUGUGCUUGUAGUGCUGUUCAGUGAAGACUCAAGAUAUCAAGAGAGAAGAUAAGAAGAGAGGAAGACUCAAGGAAGAAGACAAGAAAGAAGACUACAGCCCAACACUGCAAGUGAGCUAGGUUGGCUGAUUGCUGAUUGCCAUGCAUGCCUUGGGUGGUGGCUAUUCAGUUUGAAGCUGACUAUGCUUGGUGUUGAGAUCAAGAAAGAAGAAAGAACACAGUCCUACAUUGCUGUUCAUUGUUGCAAGUGAAGUGAACUCUACUUCAUAGCUGAUGGGCAUACCGCUGUGGGUGCAUGGUGUCUAUUUAGUUGUGUUGUAGUUGCUGCUUUGCUGGUGGCCUUGUUCAGUUCUGUAGAGCUAUAGUUGUCCUGGGCCUUGGGCACUAUAGAGACAGACCUGUAGAGCUGUUCAGCACUACAGAGCUAGUUGCCCUAUGGACUUGGGGACUAGAUAAAGACUCAUACCUCUAUAGUACCAGCAAAAUCUUUUUUGGCCUUUUAAAGGCGGGUGGUGGUGAGGGGGGCCAGCUAAGCAGUGGCACAUUUUCGCGAUGGUGCUGGCCAUCACACUGUUUAUCAGUGUGCAAGACCACUGCAACUGAUGAUUAAUUUUUUAUUAUUUUAUUUUAUUAUUUUUAAUAAUCACUUGUUUCUAAUAAUUGAAUGAAAAUAUUCAAAAAAUUA